AUCAAAUCACCAGACAGAUAGGAAGCCCCGUCAGUUCUUUAUCGUCCAUAAUCUGGCAAGAUUUUAGGUUAGCCGCAAGAAAUUUGUCAUGGAAAUCAAAGAUAGACACAAAGGAGAGGGGAAUUCAAGUGAUAUGAACACUUUGACUCUUUCAGACAAGACUGGGUUUGCUUCAGCUACUGUUACAACAUUUCAGAUAAGUGAGCCUCAAAGCAAACGAGAGCCAUCUGCGUGCUGUGUUCGGCUGGCCCUCACCGUCUACCUGCUGCUCCUGACGGCUGGCCAAGCGCUGCUGGCAUACAAAGUCUUUAAGAUGGAGAGAGAGAUGUCAAAAAUUCAAGGAAAAAAUACCUCCUACUCAGAAGAGAUGUUGGAAAGCUCCUUUGCAGAAAAACUUCUUUUGAAGAAGAACUACAUAGAGAGGGACAUGACACCUGAAAAAGACUGGAUGAGAAGCUUAGAAGAGGAAAUCAACAUAAUUAAAAACAGCAAUGAAAACAUGAUGAUGAUGAUGAACAACAUCACCCUGGCUGCAGGGCGUCCUGGGAGCAAAGGAGAUCCUGGUCCACCAGGUGCCAAAGGAGAGAAAGGAAGUCAAGGUGAAAAAGGACGGCCAGGAGAGGCAGGCGAGAAGGGAGACGUGGGUCCCAAAGGACCACCUGGAAACAAAGGAGAACCUGGGUCACAGGGAAAGGGGCUCCCAGGACAGAAAGGUGAAAAAGGUGAUCCAGGGGAAAAGGGUGUCCAAGGUCCUCCUGGUGCAGUCAGUACCUUGAAAGGAGAGAAAGGUUCAGCUGGAAGGGAUGGAUCUCCAGGAGCACCAGGAGCACCUGGCAUUCCAGGAGAGAAAGGAGACAAGGGAGACACAGGGCCGAAAGGGCCACCGGGGAUGAAGGGAGACCCAGGAAUCCAAGGCUUACAAGGACUUCAGGGUGUGAAGGGAAGUAAAGGAGACUCUGGUCCUGCUGGCCCACGUGGUGAACCAGGAAUAAGAGGAGAAAAAGGAGAGAUGGGUCCUGCAGGUCUCCAAGGACAGAAAGGUGAAAUGGGCAAGAAAGGAGAUCCUGGGCCCCAUGGACCUAUUGGCCCUCAGGGGCAUCGGGGAGACACAGGACUGCCAGGUUUCAAUGGUAGGGUGGGGGAGCCUGGACCUCCUGGGCAGAAAGGAGAGGCAGGUUUAACUGGAGGACGUGGCCCCCCGGGAAUUCCUGGCUUCGAUGGCAGACCUGGUCAGAAAGGGGAGAAGGGGGCCCCAGGUAUCAACGGUAGUCCAGGAACUGCAGGCGAGAGGGGACCUCAAGGUGAAAAGGGAGACAGAGGUUUUCCAGGACUAAAAGGAACAAAGGGAGACCAGGGCCUACAAGGCCGUCCGGGCCUACCUGGUGAAAAAGGAAGAAAGGGGGAUUACGGCAGUCCUGGCCCAAAAGGGGCAGCAGGGGCCAAAGGAGCCAAAGGAGAUGCUGGACUUACUGGCUACCUCAAUAAUGUUAUACGAAUUGCUGGAGGGGGCAGCAGGGGUCGCGUGGAAAUCCUUCACAACGGCUCCUGGGGAACAAUAUGUGACGAUAGCUGGGACAGUAGAGAUGCCACCGUGGUCUGCCGCAUGCUGGGAUACAGUCGCGCAAUCAGCACCUUCACAGCCAGCGCAGGCACUGGAGAAAUCUGGCUUGAUGAAGUUAACUGCAGAGGGAAUGAACGUUCAAUUCUCGACUGCGCAAAACCAAGCUGGGGUUUGCACAACUGCUCACACAACGAGGAUGCUGGGGUGGAGUGCGCUUGAUGGACUUGGGAGCUGCCCUCGUAAACGGCUGCCCAGCCUGCGCUGUACAUGGUGCUGCUGUCUGUCUGUUCUUAUGACAUUAUUCUUUUCACCUGUUAAUUAAAUUUUCCACAGAUCAGUAACAGUCACCAGAUCUGCAGGUCAUCCAGAAAAUCCCAGCUGCCACAGCAGGAUGUGAGCUCAGACACAUGAUCUGACUCACAGCUCUACAAGUGACCUGUGCUUAUGUGUGGGACUUCUCAGUCCACAGCAAAGGAGGGAUGGUGUGUUUUAGCUUAGCCAGCAGUAAGAGAGACCAGGUUAAGAGUGUGGGAAAGAAGUUACUAUGACUUAGUUGACCUAGUGCCUGCAUUCCAGUAUCCUGAUCAUGAAUCUGAGCCUAAAACUCCCCGUGAAGUGCAUAUACUCAAGACAGCAGAUGCUCAGAAAUCAUCAGCUGAUCUAACUGGCAUGCAAAUGUGACUGUGCUCCAGAGGAGAAGGAUGAUCACAAGUUGAAGCACAAAAGGUCUCGGGCUUCAGAAAAGAAGUCUAGAAAAUUCCUAGUGUUUUCCACUGUCCACUUUGAUGCCUUUGGCAGCAGGAGAAUGAACCGAGCCAAUUAUCAGUCCUGGCAAGGACCAUCUGUUAGAGAACGAUGGAUGGAGCCUGAUGAAUGUCAAACACUUUGAAGCUGGUGGAGAUGGACAGUUGCUCACCCAAAUGAGAAGAGAUGCAAGCUUUCUGUUCUGCGAAGGCACUCACCCAGCAUUAACAGCAUGCUGAGUAAAGCCCUUUGGCUUGGAACAGGUCUUUCCAGGGUGAAAGUCCUUCCUCUUUUUUGUGGCAGUACGUGAAUGAAGCUUUUCCACUUUUUAGGAAAUAACCCUGUUCUUUUCUUGCUAUAUCAGCAGAUGCCUGCUUAUGCUUGUGUGUUCUCACUGUCCUUGUGAACAGGCAAGUUCCUCACCGUGUUUUCAGGCUAAGUACUGAAGCACUUAGGUUUUUAAUCAGGCAAAAUGGUCACUGAAGGUCAAGUCUCUAUGGUCCCCUCUGAUGACUCGGAAAACACAGUUGCUUGGCUGUGGUUGCUUAAAUACCAUGAGUCUCAAUCUGCAUUUUGAAGAACGGGCAUCCAGAAACAGGCAGUUGCACCAGGUUUAACAUAACACCAGGGAUUAGAUUGGAUCCAAGCCUAUUCUCAGAUUUUGCCUUACAGGUCACUCUGUUAAAAUGCAAUCGUGAUCAGUGCCAGGACAAGAAAGCCUGCAUCUUUGGCACCUUACUGUGGGUGUGAGCUUGGGUGCCUAGAGCCAAAGACACUGUAGUUCAGCUUGUCUGCUCCUAAGCAGCACGGGGACAAACUGAGCCCAAGCUACUGUCCAACAGCAUGGAGAACCCUUGGAGAAGCGCUAGCUGACUGGGACUAAGCAGCAAGGGAUGCUAGAUGAUGCAGCAAAAAUGUUUUACAGCGGCUCCUCGUAUGUCAAAAGGAGGGUGAAUCCAGAAAAGAGACACUAAUGUGAUGACUAUAGCGAGAAGAAAUUCUUCAUGGUUCUCCUAGCUUUCCUGUUAGUGGGAUGUGCUUAAUAAGAUGCAUUUUUGCUCUGAAGAGUUGGUUGCGCUGAAUUAACUUCUCUAUCACUUACAAUCCCUAUUGCCACAACCCUGUACUUCUCCUGGUUCCCAUGUAUGCUCAGACUGCAAGAGCUGCUGUCACUUUAAGCUGGCCAUAUUAUCAGCUGUCAUCACCGUGGCCGUGCAAAGAGCCAGAUCAGGGAGCUGAUCCUUGUGAAAACUGCCUCAUUUAAAAAACAAAAAAACAAAAAAAAAAAAAAAAAAACCUCUGAAUUAUAGUUGGUAGCUGAAUUUGUUUCCUGCACCAGCUCACUGUGCCAGCAUAAGAGAUGACAGGAAAAUUUUAAAACCAGGAAAAAAACAAAAAAAAACCCAAGACAUUUGAGGACAAUUCCAAGGGGGACAGACACUUGCAAGGACUGAGAAACAGGUUGUUUGCCCCUGCUGUAGCAUCCACCUAUAUGCUGUGUACGGCAGCUUUUACCUGCUGAUGGCCUGACCUGGUAGCUGUAGUUGUUUGGUGAUAGCUUUUGUGCCUGAGGAACAGAGAUAUGGCUUUAAAUUAUUUUAAAUCCUUCCAAUAGACCUGCAUAUUCAGACCUCCUUACAAAGCUGUUUUGGAGACUUAGAUUUUUCCCCGCUUGUUGUGCCAAUAAGGUCAAUAAACUGCAAAUAUACCAUCA